rnacentral:rRNA from 1 species
UACGGGGGGGGGCAAGCGUUGUUCGGAAUUACUGGGCGUAAAGGGCUCGUAGGCGGCCCACUAAGUCAGACGUGAAAUCCCUCGGCUUAACCGGGGAACUGCGUCUGAUACUGGAGGGCUUGAGUUUGGGGAGAGGGAUGCGGAAUUCCAGGUGUAGCGGUGAAAUGCGUAGAUAUCUGGAGGAACACCGGUGGCGAAGGCGGUUCUCUGGGCAUGUCCUGACGCUGAGGAGCGAAAGUGUGGGGGAGCGAACAGG